AGGGAAUAUUGCGCAAUGGACGGAAGUCUGACGCAGCGACGCCGCGUGAGCGAUGAAGGUCUUCGGAUCGUAAAGCUCUGUCCUUGGGGAAGAAGGCGAAAGCUUGACGGUACCCAAGAAGAAAGCCCCGGCUAACUACGUGCCAGCAGCCGCGGUAAUACGUAGGGGGCGAGCGUUGUCCGGAAUUACUGGGCGUAAAGGGUGCGUAGGCGGCCCUUUAAGUCGGAUGUGAAAGCCCGCGGCUUAACCGCGGAAUGGCAUUCGAAACUGGAGGGCUUGAGUGUCGGAGAGGGUGGUGGAAUUCCCGGUGUAGCGGUGACAUGCGUAGAUAUCGGGAGGAACACCGGUGGCGAAGGCGACCUCCUGGCCUGUUACUGACGCUGAGGCGCGAAAGCUGGGGGAGCAAACA
rnacentral:rRNA from 1 species